CCUACGGGAGGCAGCAGUGAGGAAUAUUGGUCAAUGGCCGCAAGGCUGAACCAGCCACGUCGCGUGAGGGAUGACGGUCCUAUGGAUUGUAAACCUCUUUUGUCAGGGAGCAAAGGGCGCCACGUGUGGGGUUUGGCGAGUACCUGAAGAAAAAGCAUCGGCUAACUCCGUGCCAGCAGCCGCGGUAAUACGGAGGAUUCGAGCGUUAUCCGGAUUUCGUGGGUUUAACGGGUGCGCAGGCGGAAUGACAAGUUAGCGGUAAAAUGUCGGGGCUCAACCCCGUCGUGCUGUUGAAACUGUCGUUCUUGAGUGCGGGAGAAGUAAGCGGAAUGCGUGGUGUAGCGGUGAAAUGCAUAGAUAUCACGCAGAACUCCGAUUGCGAAGGCAGCAUACCGGCGCUCAACUGACGCUCAUGCACGAAAGCGUGGGUAUCGAACAGGAUUAGAUACCCUUGUAGUC
rnacentral:rRNA from 1 species